rnacentral:rRNA from 1 species
UACAGAGACGGCAAGCGUUGUUCGGAUUCAUUGGGCGUAAAGGGUCCGCAGGCGGUCGGCUAAGUCGGAUGUGAAAUCUCACAGCUUAACUGUGAGCGGUCAUUCGAAACUGGCCGGCUAGAGGAGUGGAGGGGAGACUGGAAUUGCUGGUGUAGCGGUGAAAUGCGUAGAGAUCAGCAAGAACACCGGUGGCGAAGGCGAGUCUCUGGACACUUCCUGACGCUCAGGGACGAAAGCCAGGGGAG